rnacentral:misc_RNA from 1 species
GCCCAUCAAACAUAUUUAGAUACACAAAUAUUCAUUUAUCCUCUCUGUGAAUAUCAAAAAAAUAUUUGGAGAUCAGAGCUUCUAGUUAUCUUUACACAUAUACAAUGAACUAAAACUAAAUAAAUAUUCAAAAGAAGCAUAUUGGCCCAACCUCCACUAGAUUCUAUAGUUGACAAAGUGGAAAAGAGGACAACGCUAAAGGAGAGACUGCUAGUGGUGGAAUCAACAAAAAGAAUCUAGCAUUCUCAUCAACCAAAUCAGGACCACGCCCUCUAAAAUUGUGAUGUUGAUCUGAAUCCGAUUGUCAUAGUGCUGGCUUUUCUUGUUGUCUGGAAGUGACCUAAGAAUCAGUAAGUGAAAAUUUUGGUAGGACUAGGCAGACCUUGUCCUUAGGCUUGGCUCAACUUGCUUGAGGCAAGGCUCAUCCUGCCAAAUCGCACGCUUGGGCGAGGCUGAAAUGACCUUAACAGUUGUCGGCUUGCCGUAGAGUAUGAUGACUUACUGUCGACGGCUUAGCUCUUGCUCCCUUUUCCAUAGAUCUUCUAGGGGAAUAUAUCUUUCUAAAACUUGAAUAUUUCCUUCCAAAGCUUCAACUAUCUCAUUCAUUUGUGGUCGAUCUUCUGGAUUAUUAUUUAAACAAGCUAAAGCACAAGCUAUCACUUGCGUCAUUUCAUUGUUGUCAUAGCCCUGCAAUCUUUUAUCAAUAAAAUCAUAGUUGCCAUUGGACAAACCUUUUCGGAGCCGAGGUACAGCCCAUUGAACUAUGUUAGAGUUGCCAUUGAACCUGGUAUCAUCAUGUUGUUUCCCUGUAAUUUCCUCCAAAACGAAUACACCAAAAGAAUAAGCAUAGGUCUUCUCAUUGAAUCUCCUCCUAUGGAAAUAUUCAGGAGGCAUAUAACCAGUAGAGACACGAGGAGCAGAAUUUGAGAGAAAAUUGGCACGUCCAUACUCUGCAAACUUCACUUUCAUAUUAUCAUCAAUAUAAAUUCGAUCUCUAUGGAAGAAGUCAUACAAAUCCCAGGGUUCAUAGCGUUCCCACAGAUAUUCCAAUAUUUUCAUCCUGCAAUUGAUGAUUCUGCGCGAGAUUUUCCAUGGAAAAAAUUCAACUCCUCGAAAAUAAGAAGCAUAGGUUUUGUCCUCGGGAACAAACUCAUAAACAAGCAGUCUAUUUGCUCCUUCAUUGCAGUAUCGAAUCAGGUUAACAAGAUUUUCAUGAUGGA